rnacentral:rRNA from 1 species
GAUGAACGCUGGCGGCGUGCCUAAUACAUGCAAGUCGAGCGAAUGGAUUAAGAGCUUGCUCUUAUGAAGUUAGCGGCGGACGGGUGAGUAACACGUGGGUAACCUGCCCAUAAGACUGGGAUAACUCCGGGAAACCGGGGCUAAUACCGGAUAACAUUUUGAACCGCAUGGUUCGAAUUGGAAAGGCGGCUUCGGCAGUCACUCAUGGUUGGACCGGCGUCGCAUUAGCUAGUUGGUGAGGUAACGGCUCACCAAGGCAACGAUGCGUAGCCGACCCGAGAGGGUGAUCGGCCACACUGGGACUGAGACACGGCCCAGACUCCUACGGGAGGCAGCAGUAGGGAAUCUUCCGCAAUGGACGAAAGUCUGACGGAGCAACGCCGCGUGAGUGAUGAAGGCUUUCGGGUCGUAAAACUCUGUUGUUAGGGAAGAACAAGUGCUAGUUGAAUAAGCUGGCACCUUGACGGUACCUAACCAGAAAGCCACGGCUAACUACGUGCCAGCCGCCGCCGUAA